rnacentral:lncRNA from 1 species
CGGCCGCCGAACCUCAAGUUCGGCUGCCGAACAUGCAUGCAUUUCGGGAGUGCUUUAGGCCCCCGAAGGCAUGAGUGAGGGAAGUCCAGGUUCGGCCGCCGAAUAUGGCAUGCAUGCGGAGGCAUGUUAGGCCCCCGAAAGUGGCCUGGCCAGCCACCUAUAAAGGGGUCCCCAUGUCCGAACGGGUGAGCUUUUCUCCUCGUUUUCGGCCAAGGUGAGUUCUCCGCCGUCUCUCAUCGAUUUUGAGUUUCUUCCUUCGAAUCUUCAUGAUUUUCUUAUGAGUUUUCACUUGGUUUGAAGAUAUUUGAGCAAAAGAGCAAGUUUUGAAGAGAAGUGAUUUCUCCCCAUCUCCAAGCUAGGAUCAUCUUUCCUCUCGAUCUUCAAGAGGUAAGCUUAGAUCCAACCUUCCUUGUAUGUUUUAAACAAGUUUUAUGAAGAUCUAUGGGGUAGAAAUGCAUGUUAGGUUAUUUUUGAGUUUAUGGGUUUAUGUUGAGUUUUUUAGCAAUGUGGGUUGUUUAUGCAUGUUUGAUGUGCUUUGGUUGGGGUUUAGGUUAGUUUGAGACCCCUUUAUGCUUGUUGGCUUGAGUUGCUUGUUGUAGAAUAGGUAAAUGCAUGAUGGAAUGGAUUGGAAGGCAUUUGUGCAUGACAGAGGCUGAUUUCUGCCCUUUGGAAGAAAUCAGGUUCGGCAGCCGAAGGAACUUUCGGCCGCCGAACCUGCCUGUUGAGGCAAGCCUUUGGCUGCCGAACCCUGCCCCCGAAAGAUGACUUUCGGCUCUGGAAGGGAGUUUCGGCCGUCGAAGGUGCCGCCGAACAUGCAUGAGUUUCAUCUCUGGAGAGAACCUUCGGCCGCCGAAAGUGCCGCCGAAGGUGCAUGACUUUCGGCUCUGGAGGGACUUUCGGCCGCCGAACCUGCCGCCGAAAGUGCCCUGUUCAGCCCUCCUUUGCAUGAUUUCUAUGAUUGUUUUAAGGUGUUUUAGGAGGUUUUUGGGGAGUAUUUUAAAGUCAUGUCCUUGAGUGUUUGGUCCCUCAUUUGAGUCCACCUGUGUAGGUUCGGACCCGAGGAACCGAGGACCCCAGCAGUGAGCUAGCAGCUUUAGAGUCAGCCUGAAGUGAGUAGAAUAAACCUUUAUGUUUUAAUUUAAUGAAAGUUUUGGCAUAACUCAUGCAUCACAAAUGCCAUGUGAUAUUCUAGGUUGUUGCAUUAGAAAUUCACGAAUAUGUUGCAUUGCAUAUUAUGUUGUUGAUGUGGAUGAACAUUGAAUGAUCCAUUAACCCUCAAUAUGAGAUGAGAUGACAUGAUAUGAUAUGAUACGGUAUGAAAGCCCAGUGGGACCCAUUCUACGUUCGCUGGCACAGUAUAAGAGAAAGACCAGGACCCAUUUUAUAUUCUGGCACUUUGGAAUGUUGUGUUUAAGUGAAAGACCAGGACCCAUUCUACGUUGGAUAGUCUUUCAUGGGAGGAGUUUGCAAACGAGUUUGCAGGAUGGGCUUUCCCUGACAGUUCAAGGGAGUUGAAGAUGAUUCAAUUUGAGCAGUUGUGUAAUACCCGGCUAGACUCCGGUAUCGGAAUUCCUACCGUCCGGUGGAAUCUCAGAUGUCGGAAGCCUCUAGUAGGGUAGAAACAUGUUUUCAUAAAAUGUUUUAAGGUAUUUCAUGGUUUUAAGUAAAAUGGAAAUGAGUUUUUGCAUAAAAACAAUCUUGGAGGAACACUCAGGUUCGGCCGUCGAACAUACAUGCCUUCGGGAGCGCCUUUAGGCCUCCGAAAGCAUAAGCGAGGAAAGUCCAGGUUCGGCCGCUGAACCUCAAGUUCGGCCGCCGAACAUGGCAUGCAUGCGGAGGCACGUUCGGCCCCCGAACGUGGCCUGGCCAGCCACUAUAAAAGGGUCCCUUAGCCGAAAACGGGUGAGCUUUUUUUCCAUUUCCGGCCAAGGUGAGCUCUCCGCCGUCCCUCAUCGAUCUUGAGUUCUUUCCUUCCAAUCCUACUCGAUUUUCAUGAGUUUUUACUUUGUUUUGAAGAUUUUCAAGCUUUGAGCAAGUUUUUGGAGCUUUGAGGUUCACGGGAACUCAACCCCUCCCAUCUUCGAGUUUAGGUCGUCUCUCUCUCGAUCUCCACGAGGUAAGAGCCGAUCUUAAGCUCAUUGCAUGUUUUAAGUAAGUUUUAAGUGGAUCCAUGGGGUAGAAUGCAUGUUUAGCUCAUGGUUAGGUUUAUGGGUUUUAUAUGUGUUUAUGAACAAUGUGAGUUGCUGGAUGUGUUGUAGUUGGGGUUUUUGUUGGUUUGAUGCCCCUAGGAACUUGUAUGCUUGUUUGUGUAUGUUGGGAAUGUUGUAGAAUAGGUUUAUGCUUGAUUGGAUAGUUUUGGAGGCAAAUGUGCAUUGAAGAGCUGGGUUUCUGCCACUAGGGGAGAAACCAGGUUCGGCAGCCGAAGGAACUUUCGGCCGCCGAACGUGCUUGUGGAGGCAGCCUUCGGCUGCCGAAGCUUGCCCCCGAAAGGAGACUUUCGUCUCUGUCUGGGAGUUUCGGUCGCCGAAAGUGCCGCCGAACAUGCAUGAGUUUAGCCUCUGUCUGGGAGUUUCGGCCGCCGAAGGUGCCGCCGAACCUGCCUAACUUUCGGCUCUGGAGGGACUUUCGGCCGCCGAACCUGCCGCCGAAAGUGCCCUGUCCAGCCCUCUCUUGCAUGUUUCUCUAUGAUUGUUUCAUGAUGUUUUAGGGGUUUUUGGGGAGUAGUUUAGAGUUAUGAUCGUGUUUGUUUGGUCCCUCAUUUGAGUCCACCUGUGUAGGUUCGGACCCGAGGAACCGAGGACCCCAGCAGUGAGUCAGCUGCUCCGGUGUCUGGUCAGAGCUAUCCAGAAGUGAGUGGAAUAAACCUUUAUGUUUUUAAGCAAAUUAAUCGUAUAGUUUUGAGCAUGUUCAUGCAUCAUGAAUGCCAUGUGAUGUUUUAGGUUGUUUGCAUUAGAAUCCACGAAUAUGUUGCAUUGCACAUUUUAAUGUUGAUGUGGAUGAAUGUUGGAUGAUCCAUAGCCCUCGAUCUAUGAUGUGACGAUGUGAUAUGUACGGUACGGAAUGUAAGACCAGUGGGACCCAUUCUACGUUCGCUGGCACUAUGUAAGAGAAAGACCAGGACCCAUUCUACGUUCUGGCACAGUUGGACCAUGUUAUGUUAUGCUAUGUAAGAGAAAGACCAGGACCCAUUCUACAUUCUGGCACAAUUGGACUAUGUAGAGGGCUAUUGGUGACAAGUUCAUCCUUGAUGUGAUUAGUUGUGAUGUGAUGCAUUCCAUGAUCCAUAUGAUUUAAAUGUUUUUAUUAUUCUGCUCAGUGGGCUCUAGUAGCUCACCCCUCUCCCAUUUUUCCCAGGAUUGCAGGUACAGGGUAGACCAGGAGAUCCGUAAGAGUAAUGAAGUCAUGUGUAUGUAAUAGAUAGUGUGGACAUGAUAAAUGCAUUAAUGUUAUGUAAAAGUACAGUUUUAGGUAUGUAAUGACUUUGAGGAUUAGAGGUUGUGCUUGACUAUAUGUAUAAGAUAUCCCUUUUAAUACAUGAUCUUAGAUAUUUUAUUAUGAUUAUGCAAACCAACUCAACUUAUGAUGUAUCGCCCAUUGGGGCAUUGAUGAGAUCCCAAAGAGGGGUCAUGAUUAUGAUUAUGUUUAUGUAUAGUGCAUGCACAGGUUGAGUUUGGUGUAUGAACGAAAGAAAAGUUUUAAAUUUUUAUGUAUUUUCUUGAUCAUGUAUGGGAUUAAACAGGUUUUCAGGUUGCAUGUUAGGCUUGCUACGGGUCUUGGCGGCCUUAAGUCGACCCGGAUCCUAGCGCCGGUAGCGGUCCGAUUUUCGGGUCGUUACAAGUUGAGGCAAUCAGAGGAGAUGAGUGUGGAUGAGUAUACAGACAGGUUUUUGGAACUGUUGCCGUUUGCUGGGCAAAAUCUGGACACAGAUCAGAAGAAGUCAAGGAGGUAUAUCAUGAGGCUCCAUUCCAGGUAUUCCUCCUUGAUCCAGUCAGCAGAGAGGGAGAGUUUCCAUGCCAUAGUGGAUAUGGCUCGGAGGAUGGAGGCUAGUGCAAUAAUCGAAGGGAAAGUCAAGAAGUCAGUAGCACAGCCUUCUGGUUCCAAGACCCCAGGUGGGGGAAAGUUAGACCCUUCUUCUUUGAGUGCAGCAGCUUCAGGCAGUAAGAGGUGGGGUAAUACCACCAAGAAGUCAAAGAAGAACAAGUUUUGGAAUAAGAUCAAGUCAGGUCUGGGAUUAGGAAGUGGCUCGAGCUCAGGUGCAGAUAAUGCAGUAUGUAUGAAGUGUGGGAAGCCGCACAAAGGAGUAUGUCGAUUUGGGACGACAGCCUGCUUCAGAUGUGGGCAGGAGGAACACAUGGCACGGGAGUGUCCUAGAGCAGCUUUUGUGGCACAGUCCCAGCAGACAGCUUCUGGUAGUGUGGCUCAACCAGUAGCUCCAGCUGCGACUCAGGCUAGUGGCAGAGGCAGAGGGAGAGGGGCAGCCUCUUCUUCAGCGGGUUUCAGGGGUGAAGGUCCAUCAGCUCCAGCACGGAUCUUCACUAUGACUCAGCAGGAGGCAAAUGCAUCAAACACAGUGGUGUGAGGUAAUCUCAUCAUUGGUUGUUCUGAUGUUUAUGCCUUAAUGGACCCUGGUGCAUCGCAUUCUUUUAUUGCUCCGAGAGCCAUCGAGAGGUUGGGGUUGAUGGUCUCUGGGUUAGAGUGUCCCCUAUGGGUCAGUGGACCCAAGUGUGACCCGUCAGUGGCAGAGUCAGUCUGCCAGUGUAGUCCAGUUUUCGUUGAGGGAAGAUGCCUUUCAGCCGACCUUGUGAUUCUAGAUUUGACAGAUUUUGACAUCAUUCUAGGGAUGGGUUGGCUAUCUACCCAUAGUGCUACCUUGGACUGCAGAGACAAGGUAGUCAAGUUCAGAUGUCAGGAUGGGUCAGAGGUUGUCUUCAGAAGAGACAGGGGGAGUAUACCUAGAGGUUUGAUAUUAGCCCUUCAGGCUCGUAGGUUGCUCAGGAGGGGUUGUCAGGGUUUUCUAGCUCAUGUGAGAGAGCUGGAUAAUCAUGUUAAAGAGCCCGCCUCUGUGCCGGUGGUCAGUGAGUUUUUAGACGUUUUUCCAGACGAGCUGCCAGGUUUACCACUUGCUAGGGAGAUAGAGUUUGAAAUUGAGUUGAUGCCUGGAACCAGACCGAUCUCUAUCCCUCCCUACAGGAUGGCACCAGCAGAAUUGAAGGAGCUUAAGGAGCAGUUGCAAGAGUUGGUAGAUAGAGGCUUCAUCCGACCGAGUACCUCACCUUGGGGUGCUCAAGUGUUGUUUGUGAAAAAGAAGGAUGGGUCCCUCCGACUUUGUAUCGACUACAGACAGUUGAACAAGGUCACUACCAAGAAUAAGUACCCUUUGCCAAGGAUCGACGAUCUAUUCGACCAGCUAGCAGGAGCAGGUUGUUUCUCCAAGAUAGAUCUGAGAUCAAGAUACCAUCAACUGAGGAUAAGAGAAGAGGAUGUGCCGAAGACAGCAUUCAGGACCAGAUAUGGGCACUAUGAGUUCCUUGUGAUGUCGUUCGGGUUAACCAAUGCCCCUGCAGCAUUCAUAGAUCUCAUGAACAGAGUUUUCAGUCAAUACCUAGAUCACUUUGUUAUUGUCUUCAUAGAUGAUAUCUUAGUAUAUUCCAGGAAUGCAGAGGAGCAUGCCCAUCAUCUGAGAUUAGUUCUGCAGACCUUGAGGGAACACGGCUUGUAUGCCAAGUUCUCCAAGUAUGAGUUCUGGCUGAGGAGCAUUUCAUUCUUGGGGCAUGUUGUGUCAGAAAAUGGAAUCGAAGUGGACCCCAAGAAGGUGGAAGCCGUAGCUAACUGGCCUAGACCCACUACAGUGACAGAGAUCAAAAGCUUCUUGAGUUUGGCAGGUUACUAUAGGAGGUUCGUCCAGGACUUCUCUAAGAUUGCAGCUCCUAUGACCAGACUGACUAAGAAGAACCAGAAGUUUGUGUGGACCGACCAAUGUGAAGAGACCUUUGAAGAGCUAAAGAAGAGGUUGACUUCAGUACCGGUGUUAGCUCUGCCAACUAGUAAUGAAGACUUCACGGUUUUCUGUGAUGCGUUCCGUGUGGGACUGGGUUGUGUGCUGAUGCAGAAUGAAAGGGUGAUUGCUUAUACUUCUAGGCAGCUGAAGAAGCAUGAGUUGAAUUACCCUACACAUGACCUAGAAAUGGUAGCGGUAAUCUUUGCACUCAAGAUGUGGAGGCAUUACCUUUAUGGGUUAAAAUGUGAGAUCUUUACAGAUCAUAAGAGCCUGCAGUACAUCUUGAGUCAGAGGGAAUUGAAUAUGAGGCAGAGAAGAUGGGUAGAGCUGCUUAGUGACUAUGAUUGCAAGAUCUAGUACCAUCCGGGUAAGGCGAAUGUUGUGGCAGAUGCCUUAAGCCGAAAAUCACUUGGCAGUUUGUCCCAUAUUUCAGCAGAGAGAAGACCAGUGGUGAGGCAGUUCUUCGAGCUCAUUAAUGAAGGUCUACAGUUGGAGUUGUCUAGUACUGGUGCUUUGAUAGCCCAGAUGAGAGUAACACCUGUGUUUCUGGAGCAGGUGGCUCAGAAACAGCAUGAGGACCCAGAGUUAGUGAAGAUUGCCAGGACUGUUCAGUCAGGCAAGAAUGAAGAGUUCAAAUUUGACAGCAAGGGGAUCCUCCGCUAUGGGAAUAGAUUGUGUGUACCAGAUGACGUGGGUCUAAAGGGAGACAUUAUGAGAGAGGCUCAUAAUGCCAGAUACAGUGUUCACCCCGGAGCCACCAAAAUAUAUCAAGAUCUGAAGAGAGUGUAUUGGUGGCCAGCUAUGAAAAGAGAAGUGGCACAGUUUGUGUCAGCCUGCGAAAUAUGUCAGAGGGUGAAGCUGGAACAUCAGAAGCUGGCUGGAAUGCUGAACCCACUACCUAUUCCAGAGUGGAAAUGGGAGAAUAUAGCUAUGGACUUCAUGGUGGGGCUACCGGUGGCGUCCAACAGAUUGGACUCCAUAUGGGUGAUUGUGGACAGAUUGACCAAAUCUGCUCACUUCAUCCUUGUCAGGAGUGGCUAUUCUGUGGACAAGUUGGCGCAGGUGUAUGUUGACGAGGUUGUCAGGUUGCAUGGGGUUCCUGUUUCAAUAGUGUCUGAUAGAGGGCCCCAGUUCACCUCCAGGUUUUGGCGGAGUCUGCAGAACGCUAUGGGUACCAUGUUGGAGUUUAGCACUGCUUUCCAUCCACAGACGGACGGACAGUCAGAGAGGACCAUCCAGACUAUAGAAGAUAUGCUCAGAAUGUGUGUGCUGGAUUUUGGCGGUUCUUGGAGGCAGCAUCUAUCUCUAGUGGAGUUUGCCUACAAUAACAGCCAUCAUGCUAGCAUAGGGAUGGCUCCAUAUGAGGCUCUGUAUGGAAGGAAGUGCAGGUCGCCUGUCUGUUGGGAAGAAGUUGGAGAAAAGGCCUUAGCGGGGCCUGAGCUAGUAGAGAUCACCAGCAGAGUGGUGCCCAUAAUCAGAGAAAGGAUCAAGAAUGCUGCAAGCAGGCAAAAGAGUUAUGCAGAUAUCCGCAGAAGGCAAGUAGAGUUUCAGGAGGGGGAUUUGGUAUUGCUCAAAGUGUCUUCAAUGAAAGGGGUGAUUCGGUUCGGGAAGAAAGGUAAGCUAGCUCCACGGUACAUCGGACCCUUUGAGAUCUUGCAAAAGAUCGGGAAUGUAUCGUACAAGUUGGACUUACCUGCUUCAAUGGAGAAAAUUCAUCCGGUUUUCCAUGUUUCUAUGUUGAGGAAAUUCGUGUCAGAUCCGGGCAAGGUUCUUAGUGAACCUGAUGUGGAGAUCCAAGAAGAUCUCACUUAUGUUGAGCAGCCAGUACGGAUCCUAGACACCCAGAUCAGGAAGCUAAGGAACAAGGAAAUCCUGAUGGUGAAAGUCCUUUGGAAUCACCACAACAUCGAAGAGUGUACCUGGGAGACACGGGAGUCCAUGCUCCAGCAAUAUCCUCAUCUCUUCUAAGGUGAGUUUUAUGUGUUUUGUAUGAAUGUUGAUGAUUUAUGCUUUGUAUGUUCAUGUUCUAUGCUUUUCAUGUGUUAUUUGGUGAAUAUUCGGGGACGAAUGUUCUUAAGGGGGGAAGAAUGUAAUACCCGGCUAGACUCCAGUAUCGAAAUUCCUACCGUCCAGUGGAAUCUCGGAUGUCGGAAAUCUCUAGAAGGGUAAAACCAUGUUUUCAUAAAAUGUUUUAAUAUAUUUUAUGGUUUUAAGCAAGAAAGGAAAUGAGUUUUGUAUGAAAAUAACCUUGGAGGAAGACCCAGGUUCGGGCGCCGAACCUCAAGUUCGGUUGCCGAACAUGCAUGCAUUUCGGGAGUGCUUUAGGCCCUCGAAGGCAUGAGUGAGGGAAGUCCAGGUUCGGCCGCCGAACCUUAUGUUCGGCUGCCGAACAUGGCAUGCAUGCGGAGGCACGUUAGGCCCCCGAAAGUGGCCUGGCCAGGGACCUAUAAAGGGGUCCCCAUGUCCGAACGGGUGAGCUUUUCUCCUC